AAACAGAAGUAAAGGCAGUAGAUCAGAAAGGUGAAAACUUACCUGUGAACAACCAUCAAGUUGCAGAUUUAGAAGAGAUGAACAUUCAAGGACAACAUCUGGUUUCACCACUUGCAGCUAGUGAGCAUUCAGAUAAUAUUGACAGAUCUUCACCACCAAAUGUUAAUUCAGGAGAAAAUGAAAAGAUUUUGGAGAAUUCAUGGUUAAAGAUCAAGAGGGUUGAAGAUGAAGAUACAUGAAGCUUUUUACUUUGUGUAAUUAACUCGAAAAAUAUUUUGUAAUGAAAGUACAUAAAUAGUGUAAACCUCUUAUAUUUUGUUAUUACUCAAAAAACAUUGCACUUUAACUCAUAACAUGUCAAUAAAGGUCAAUGAAAUUGAAUUUA